UACAGAGGUCUCAAGCGUUGUUCGGAUUCAUUGGGCGUGAAGGGUGUGUAGGUGGCGCGCUAAGUCGGACGUGAAAUCCCUCAGCUUAACUGGGGAACUGCGUCCGAUACUGGAUGGCUUGGAUUUGGGAGAGGGAUGCGGAAUUCCAGGUGUAGCGGUGAAAUGCGUAGAUAUCUGGAGGAACACCGGUGGCGAAGGCGGCAUCCUGGACCAAUAUUGACGCUGAGGAGCGAAAGCCAGGGGAGCAAACGGG
rnacentral:rRNA from 1 species